CUGCGACAGGACACCAUGUUCGGUGGGGGUCCAGGUGAACUUCUAGAGUGUAAAAAAAGAAAAUGUGAUGGUCUACCUGUCUUGCGCGCAGGCUUGUGGUUUUCCUCCCCUUCACGUUUCUCUGUUAUAGGCUAACAGCCAUGGAAGCUUGGUAAAACCAAGGGCAGUGAUUUCCACCACUGGUCUUCAGAAUGGAUCCAAACGUACAAGGUCACUCAGCCCUGCCGCAUUUCUCAAAACGCAGAACAUGGCGGACACUCGCUUUCCCAGCCUACUGCGCAACCGUAGCUUGAUCACCUGACAUGGUCUAGCCAGUGGGAGGGGAGGGGAGGGGAGGUCCGACAAGGGGCUUCUGGGACAAGGUCUCCUUCCUGUUGUGCGGGCAAGAAUUGCCCUUCCGUCCAGCCACCUUUGAACACAACCGCCUGAAGUUGGAUGUCGGGGAAUAUGAUCUGGGAAAACUGUGAGGAAAAACUACAUGAGGUAGAGAAACCGAGCGGCUUCAUCAGCCAAACCUGCAACCAUCGACCUCUGGAUUCCCUGUGUGUGAGGUAAUUCACUGCCCUCGCUGUUUAGGCUCCUCAAAGUCCGGCGUUCUGCUCCUUGCGAAUGAAAGCAUCUCAAAUGGUAAGGCCACCUCUAGCAAUAGUGAGCAAAUGCCCACUUCCAACAAGGACCGUUCCUCCUGGGGAAGCAGGUAUUGUACAAAGGAGAUGAAUGCGGCAUGUCCGAGACGACCUUUAAAGUCCUUUACAACCCCAGGAUUUUAUCAUUUCUGUAGGUGAGGAACGUGGAAAUGCGCGUACAGAAAAAAAUACACACGACACACAUCAUCCUGUGGAAAACGUGUGUACCAUAAUAAAAAUUUUUUGUUAUUAUUAAAGUUUUUUAAAAAAAAUGGGGUGCCUGGGUGGCUCAGUCGGUUAAGCAUCUGACUUCGACUCAGGUCAUGAUCCUGCGGGUGUGAGUUCGAGCCCGGCAUCGUCAGGCUCUGUGCUGAUGGCUCAGAGCCUAGAGCCUGCUUUGUAUUCUGUGUCUCCUCCUCUCUCUGCCCCUCCCAUGCUCAUGCUCUCUCAAUAAUAAAUAAACAUUAAAAAAAAAUUUAAAAAAAUUAACACACUAUGCCAGAUCCAUAAGGUUUUUGUGUAGUUCAGCAGACAAGUAAUGUACAUCCAUAUAGUUCAACACUACGAACUUUAAAAUAAGGUGACUCAAACGUGACAAUAUGGAAAGAUCCCAAGGAUAUAUUACCAAUUAAAAAAUGCAGAUUCAGGAUGAGUAUAAAUGAACCAUGUUUAUAAAAAUACGUUUUAACAUUUUGAGAAGAAGGUGCCUGGGUGGCUUCAUCAGGUUGAGCGUGAGACUCUUGAUUUGGGCUCAGGUGAUGAUCUGAUGGUUCGUGACUUCAAGCCUCGGAUCAGGCUCUCUGCUGUCAGCUCAGAGCCUGCAGCCUGCUUCGGAUUCUCUCUCCCCCUCUCUCUGCCCCUCCCCCACUCAUACUUGCUCUCU